GUCAAGGUUAUUUAUAUACCAGUCAGGACGGUGGUAAUUGUCUAUCAACUUUUGUUGCAUUUCUAUUUGGACGUAUCAGCACUGCAGAAUGGGGAAAUUUAUCGGUCUCUUUCUCAUCUUGAGCAUUGCUUUAGCAGGAACAUUGUUUCCAGAAAUAGAUGCAAGUAUUUAGAAAAGAUUUACGUGUGAGAUGGGUGGAGUUCGGUUCUGUUUAGCUCAUUGCCUGGCUCUUGGUUACAGGGGUGCUUGGUGUGACAGCAGGAAUGUUUGUCAUUGUAGAUAAGUGCUCAAGGAGAAUGCGAGAAGUUAUUCUUUGUGAAGCACGUUAGAAUAAAAUGUGAAUAAAAAUA